rnacentral:lncRNA from 1 species
UUUUUUUUUUUGCAGGUGAGCGGAAGUAUGAUAUGACCAAACAAAAGUCCAACUGCAAUAUGAUUAAUGGUGAGGUGGUGAAAUAGAUUCUAGAACAUAAUGUUAAUGUAUGCGCCAUUAAUUUUGAUAUAUGAUCCUUCAUGAAAAUUUCUGUUUCGUGAUGGAUGUGAGAAGGAAUAUUAUAGGACGAAGCAUGAAAUCUUAAUCAUCAAAUUCGAAAACAUAUAUACACACGUGCAUGCAUCGCGAUCAGGCGUGUACAGAGAGAACACAUGGUUAAGGUUCGGAUUACAACGGUUGACAUUAUGGACGUGAAAAAUAAAUCACGCGGAAAAGAGUCAAGCAAAGCACCCAUUGAAACAAGAACGACAAUGAAAGGCAUCCCAUGAGAUAGUUAAAUUAUACGCAAAAAUGUCCCCUGUACAUAAUUUUUUUACUGGAUGGAUAAAAUGCACCGCUCCUUUUAAGUUCAUCUGGAAUAUUACUUUAUUUAUAUAAGAAAAAAUGGAUCGCCCUACAAAAAAAGAUAAUAGAAAAUUUGGAGUAAAAGGUUAGAAAUAGUUAAUUGUACAUGGCAAGCUACUUAUAUGGUCGUCUGUGAUUAAAUUUGUUUUGUUUUCUAAAAUCUCUCUGCGACGCUGAUGAACAAAUAUAUUGUUUAACUGAAGUGUAUAUUGAGAAUUCUCAUUUGGUAGACAAAGCAAAAAAAAUAUCUGCGCAUACAUGAAAUUUUGCAUAAGACUUAUUAGGAAAUAUAAUUUUGUUUUUAUCCACUGUAUAAACGGAAUAUCUCUAUUUAUAUUCACAAUUUUAAAAUUUUCAAAAAAUGCAAUUUAAAUUAUCUGUUCAUAAUCCCUGAGAAAGACGCAGCCUACAUGCAGACCAAGAUGUUCAUUCAGUGUUGUUUAAUUACACAUUGAUAGUCAAUUGUAGAAGUUAGACACGAUCUCAAGAGAACUACCACAUGGCAUACGUGCUGAGAAAUCAAAAUUUGAUAAACAAUAAAAUUUCGUAAGAAUAAGCCACAUGAAAGAAAUGUGUUCCAUUUGAAAUAACGACUAUCAAGGCCUAUUUUAAGCUUUCUAAAAUCAAUAAGCAAUUUUUAUAAUGCAAUGACAAUAUUUGUGUACAAUUAAUCUAUAUUUAGAUUUAAAUCUUAUCGCUGAACAUUUAAAAAGCAAGGUAAGGGUCGAUAGAAUGGGAUGAAAGGUGUGAAAGAGAGGGAAAACUAGACCUUAUGGUAAAAGACUAUAGUUUUGCAUUGUGAGACCCAUACCAAUUUGCGUUUUAGGGACCAAAGCCACCCACAAUGUCAUCUGUACAUUCAUUUGCCCUCUUUUAGUAGUUGAAGAUACUGGUCGCUGCUCCAACAACAAAACUCAGAAAUAGUGAAACUUUUUUUGAGACGUAAAUACGGAAACUUUUCAACCAUCUAUAUGAGGGAAUUCAUAAAAUAAAUUGGAUUUUAAAUUUACAGAAAUCACAGGAUUAUUUACGAAAGGACAAACAUUGAACCUAAAAUCAAGCACAACUAAUGUAGCUACUAAAAACUCAUGCAUAUAUGAAGUACAAAAAUAUUAAUUUUACACUCAAUAAAUGUGAAAUAUAAUGUGACAAAUAUAAAAACAUGACCGCGCAUUUGCGCAGGUCACCCUGCUAGUUUAUUAUAUACACGAGCAGGAAGGAAAGUCACAUAUUGUUGCAACUUUCUUCCACAACCGCACUCCUCAUAAAUAUGUUUGCGUUCAACUAUUUAGGAAAAUGGUGUUGCUUUGACUAGGGAGAUUACACACCUAUUCCUCUAUGAUUCACCAUCUAUAUUUUAACAAGGUUUGUGUCGUGGAAUUGUCACGGCAGAUGUCCUAGUGUGAGGACUUAGUCGUGAGGCCAACACAUCGAUCUUUGUAGUAACUUGAGAGGGGUUGUGUGGAAUCGAGAGACGCAACACAAGACAAGGAUUUAGACAGCUUCAGGUCCCGGGAAACAUCGUCCGGUAAUAUCCCUACAUGUUGUUUGUGGCUAGAUCUCAUUAUGCUCAUGAGAGAGUCGCUGCAUAAGCCGGCUCCCCCUUUGUGUCUAGCCCUAGAGAUUGUUUCUUGUUGCUUGUCACUCUUUGGGGAGCUCUGCCCCUCCUUACAUAAGUUGAAGGGGCGGGUUACAUGACUAGUCCUAGUAGGAUUAGGAUUACUCUAUUACAAGUAGAGUCCUAGGCUUGCUUCCUUUGUAGGAGAAUAUUCCUUAUGUCUUUCAUCGUAAGCCGGCCCACCUUUAUAUGAACCGGCAUACUGGGCCUUGGGCCUUGUCGUCCGUCUGAAGCACCCGCGGGUCACCAAUGAGUCUUCAGGCUCAUGAGUCGUCACACCAGUGAGCCGCCAGACACGUGAGUCGCCAAUUCUCUGGUGGUUACCAAUGAAACAUCAACUCCGGCCGGGUCAUAUAUCCGGCUGGGUCAUACCGCGGGGUAUAUCCCCGACAUUAGCCCCGAGUUUAAAUUGGAUUUAUCCAUGUUAAACUGAUCUGCAAUAUAAACACAAGAGCAAAUUUGACAGGUUGUGCUCCGGGUUAAAUAUUCUUGUAAGCCGGCACCUGACCAUCCUGAAGUCCUUGUUUAUUUCCUCCUUCUAGAAAAUCUGGGUCAAUAGGCCGGCUUCAUAAUCAACUUGCUUGUAGAAGAAAUAUUGUAAAUAAAGAAUCCCUUUGAGUCGGUCUUCAAUGCUCUGACUUGACAAAAAUAUUGGUCUUCCAAUAUUCAACUGAUAUUCAGCCAGCUUGAAGAUGUAGAACUUGCCGAUUUAUGAUUGCCAAAAUUGUCGGGUUAUAAACAAAUGAUGUUGGGUCAUGUAAUUGUUGCUGAUGCCGAGUUAAUCUUAUGAUGACGCCAGGUCAUAAUUGUUGCCGACGCGGGUCAUAAUUAUUGAUGACACCAGGCUAUGAUUGUUGCAGACACCGGGUCAUAAUGAUUGGUGACGCCGGGUCAAGCUGGUUUGCUCAAAACAGAGAAUUCGAAAGUAUUUCUCCUUAUAUCCGUGUUACCUGUAGCCCCCAAGUGUCGGGUUGUCAUGCUUACAUCAACCUGGGACUUGUAACUGUCUUAUGCUCACAAAAACUUCAACCGGUGUAGCCCCCAAGGGCCGGGUCAUUAUGAUAAUGAGCAGGGACUUUGUAAAUAUGAUCAUGUAAACUUGAGCAGCAACGUGUAGCCCCUAAGGGCCGGCUCAGUAAGAUAUUACUGAGAUGGGACUUUGUAUAUUCUUCAUUGAUAAUAACAUCAUAUGAUGUAAUCUCCACCAUGGGGCUUGAACCCACGUUCACAAGGUUAAGAGCUUUGUACUCUCUACCAACUGAGUAGUGGAUCUUUCAAUAUAAUGGACUGAGGCUUGUGUACCUUGAAUUUUUUACAGGAGCAAUUGGUAGCCCCCAAGGGCCGGCUCAUUACAAUGGGAUGAGUCGGGUCUGUUGGGGAACGUAACAGAAAUUCAAAAUUUUCUACGCAUUACCAAGAUCAAUCUACGGAGUAAUCUAGCAACGAGGGGAAGGAGAGUGCAUCUACAUACCCUUGUAGAUCGCUACGCGGAAGCGUUCAAGAGAACGGGGUUGAUGGAGUCGUACUCGUCGUGAUCCAAAUCACCGAUGAUCCUAGUGCCGAACGGACGGCACCUCCGUGUUCAACACACGUACAGCCCGGUGACGUCUCCCAUGCCUUGAUCCAGCAAGGAGAGAGGGAGAGGUUGAGGAAGACUCCAUCCAGCAGCAGCACAACGGCGUGGUGGUGAUGGAGGAGCGUGGCACUCCAGCAGGGCUUCGCUAAGCACCGCAAGAGACGAGGGGGAGAGGGGUAGAGCUGCACCAAGAAGAGAUCAAAUCACGUGUUGGGCAGCCCCUAGGCCUCAAGUAUAUAUAGGGGAAGGGGAGGGGGCUGCGCCCCCUCUAGGGUUCCCACCCCAAGGGGUGCGGCAGCCCCAGAUCCCAUCUGAGGGAGGCGGCCAAGGGGGGAGGAGAGGGAGGCGCAGGGAGCAUGGGCCUUAGGGCCCAUCUGCCCUUAGGGUUUGCCCCCUUUCCUCUUCCCUUGCGCCUUGGGCCUUGGUGGGGGGUGCACCAGCCCACCUGGGGCUGGUCCCCUCCCACACUUGGCCCAUGCAGCCCUCCGGGGCUUGUGGCCCCACUUGGUGGACCCCCGGGACCCUCCCGGUGGUCCCAGUACGUUACCGAUAAAACCCGAAACUUUUCCCGUGACCAAAACAGGACUUCCCAUAUAUAAAUCUUUACCUCCGGACCAUUCCGGAACUCCUCGUGACGUCCGGGAUCUCAUCCGGGACUCCGAACAACAUUCGGUAACCACAUACAAACUUCCUUUAUAACCCUAGCGGGAUCGAACCUUAAGUCUGUAGACCCUACGGGUUCGGGAACCAUGCAGACAUGACCGAGACGUUCUCCGGUCAAUAACCAACAGCGGGAUCUGGAUACCCAUGUUGACUCCCACAUGUUCCACGAUGAUCUCAUCGGAUGAACCACGAUGUCAAGGACUUAAUCAAUCCCGUAUACAAUCCCCUUUGUCUAGCGGUAUGAUACUUGCCCGAGAUUCGAUCGUCGGUAUCCCGAUACCUUGUUCAAUCUCGUUACCGGCAAGUCUCUUUACUUGUUCUGUAACACAUCAUCCCGUGAUCAACUCCUUGAUCACAUUGUGCACAUUAUGAUGAUGUCCUAUCGAGUGGGCCCAGAGAUACCUCUCCGUCACACGGAGUGACAAAUCCCAGUCUCGAUUCGUGCCAACCCAACAGACACUUUCGGAGAUACCCGUAGUGCACCUUUAUAGUCACCCAGUUACGUUGUGACGUUUGGCACACCCAAAGCACUCCUACGGUAUCCGGGAGUUGCACAAUCCCAUGGUCUAAGGAAAUGAUACUUGACAUUAGAAAAGCUUUAGCAUACGAACUACACGAUCUUUGUGCUAGGCUUAGGAUUGGGUCUUGUCCAUCACAUCAUUCUCCUAAUGAUGUGAUCCCGUUAUCAACGACAUCCAAUGUCCAUGGUCAGGAAACCGUAACCAUCUAUUGAUCAACGAGCUAGUCAACUAGAGGCUUACUAGGGACAUGGUGUUGUCUAUGUAUCCACACAUGUAUCUGAGUUUCCUAUCAAUACAAUUAUAGCAUGGAUAAUAAACGAUUAUCAUGAACAAGGAAAUAUAAUAAUAAUCAAUUUAUUAUUGCCUCUAGGGCAUAUUUCCAACAGUCUCCCACUUGCACUAGAGUCAAUAAUCCAGUUCACAUCGAUAUGUGAUUAAGACUCAAGGUCACAUCCCCAUGUGACUAACCCCCAAAGAGUUCUGGGUUUGAUCAUGUUAUGCUUGUGAGAGAGGUUAUAGUCAAUGGGUCUGAAACAUUCAGAUCCGUAUGUACUUCGCAAAUUUCUAUGUCAUCUUGUGGAUGCAACUACUACGCUACAUUUGGAGCUAUUCCAAAUAACUGUUCUACUAUACGAAUCCAGUUUACUACUCAGAAUAAUCUGGAUUAGUGUCAAAGUUUGCAUCGGCGUAACCCUUUACGACGAACUCUUUUACCACUUCCAUAAUCGAGAAAAUUCCUUAGUCCACUAGUUACUAAGGAUAACUUCGACUACUGUCCUGUGGUCCAUUCUUGGAUCACUCUUGUACCCCUUGACUGACUCAUGGCAAGGCACAUUUCAGGUGCGGUACACAGCAUAGCAUACUGUAGAGCCUAUGUCUUAAGCAUAGGGGACGACCUUCGUCCUUUCUCUCUAUUAUGUCGUGGUCGAGCUUUAAGUAUUAACUUCAUACCUUACAACUCAGGCAAGAACUCCUUCUUUGACUCAUCCAUCUUGAACACCUUCAAGAUCAUGUCAAGGUAUGUGCUCAUUUGAAAGUACCAUUAAGCAUUUUGAUCUAUCCUUAUAGAUCUUGAUGCUCAAUGUUCAAGUAGCUUAAUCCAGGCUUUCCAUUGAAAAACACUUUCCAGAUAACCCUAUAUGCUUUCCAGAAAUUCUACAUCAUUUCUGAUCAACAAUAUGUCAACAACAUAUACUCAUCAGAAAUUCUAUAGUGCUCCCACUCACUUCUUUGGAAAUACAAGUUUCUCAUAAACUUUGUAUAAACCCAAAAUCUUUGAUCAUCUCAUCAAAGCGUACAUUCCAACUCCGAGAUGCUUACUCCAGUCCUUAGAAGGAUUGCUGGAGCUUUGCAUACUUAUUAGCAUCUUUCAGGAUUGACAAAACCUUCCGGUUGUAUCACAUACAACCUUUCCUCAAUAAAAUCGUCGAGGAAACAAUGUUUUGACAUCCUAUCUGCAAGAUUUCAUAAAUAAUGCAGUAAUCGCUAAUAUAAUUCCAACAGACUCUUAGCAUCGCUACGAGUGAGAAAGUCUCAUCAUAGUAAACUCCUUGAACUUGUCGGAAAAAAAAAUCUUAACGACAAGUCGAGCUUUCUUAAUGGUGAUACUUACCAUCAUUGUCCGUCUUCCUUUUAAAAUCCAUAUGUACCUAACAGCCUUACAACCAUCAAGUAGUUCUUCCAAAGUCUACACUUUGUUUUCAUAUAUGGAUCCUCUCUCGGAUUAUAUGGCCUCGAGCCAUUUAUCGGAAUCCAGGCCCACCACCGGUUCUCCAUAGCUCAUAGGUUCAUUGUUGUCUAGCAACAUGACUUCCAAGACAGGAUUACGUACCACUAAGUAGUACGCUUCCUUGUCAUCCCAUGAGGUUUGGUAGUGACUUGAUCUGAAGUUUCAUGAUCACUAUCAUAAGCUUCCACUUCAAUUGGUGUAGGUGCCACAGGAACAACUCCCUGUGCCCUUUCACACACUAGUUGAAGAGACGGUUUAAUAACCUCAUCAAGUCUCCACCAUCCUCCCACUCAAUUCUUUCGAGAGAAACUUUUCCUCGAGAAAGGACCCGAUUCUAGAAACAAUCCCUUAUUGCUUUCGGAUCUGAGACAGGAGGUAUACCCAACUGUUUUGGGUGUCCUAUGAAGAUGCAUUUAUCCGCUUUGGGUUCGAGCUUAUCAGCCUGAAACUUUUUCACAUAAGCGUCGCAGCCCCAAACUUUUAAGAAAUGACAGCUUAGGUUUCUCUAAACCAUAGUUCAUACGGUGUCAUCUCAUCGGAAUAACGUGGUGCCCUCUUUAAAGUGAAUGUGGUUGUCUCUAAUGCCUAACCCAUAAACUAUCGUGGUAAUUCGAUAAGAGACAUCAUGGUAUGCAUCAUAUCCAAUAGAGUGCAGUUAUGAUGUUCGGACACACCAUCACACUAUGGUGUUCCAGGCUGUAUUAGUUGUGAAACAAUUUCCACAAUGUCUUAAUUCUGUGCCAAACUCGUAAUUCAGAUAUUCAUCUCUAUGAUCAUAUCAUAGAUCUUCUAUCCUCUUGUCACGACGAUCUUUCAACUUCACCCUGAAUUACUUGAACCUUUCAAUAAUUCAGACUCGUGAUUCAUCAAGUAAAUAUACUCAACAUCUACUCAAAUCAUUUGUGAAGUAAGAACAUAACGAUAUCCACUACACGCCUCAGCACUCAUUGGACUGCACACAUCAAAAUGCAUUACUUCCAACAAGUUAUUUCUAGUUCCAUUUUACUGAAAACGAGGCUUUCAGUCAUCUUGCCCAUGUGGUAUGAUUUGCAUGUCUCAAGUGAUUCAAAAUCAAGUGAGUCCAAAUGGUCCAUUUGCAUGGAGUUUCUUUAUGCAUAUACACCAAUAGACAUGGUUCGCAUGUCUCAAACUUUUCAAAAAUGAGUGAGUCCAAAGAUCCAUCUACAUGGAGCUUCUUCAUGCGUUUUAUAACGAUAUGACUUAAGUGGCAGUGCCACAAGUAGGUGGUACUAUCAUUACUAUCUUAUAUCUUUUGGCAUGAACAUGUGUAUCACUACAAUCGAGAUUCAAUAAACCAUUCAUUUUAGGUGCAAGACCAUUGAAGGUAUUAUUCAAAUAAACAGAGUAACCAUUAUUCUCCUUAAAUGAAUAACCGUAUUGUGAUAGACAUAAUCCAAUCAUGUCUAUGCUCAACGCAAGCACCAAAUAACAAUUAUUUAGGUUUAACACCAAUCUCGAUGGUAGAGGGAGCGUGUGAUGCUUGAUCAUAUCAACAUUGGAAAUACUUCCAACACAUAUCGUCAGCUCACCUUUAGCUAGUCUCCGUUUAUUCCGUAGCUUUUAUUUCGAGUUACUAACACUUAGCAACCGAAACGGUAUCUAAUACCCUGGUGCUACUAGGAGUACUAGUAAAGUACACAUCAACACAAUGUAUAUCCAAUAUACUUCUAUCGACCUUGUCAGCCUUCUAAUCUACCAAGUAUCUAGGGUAAUUCUGCUCUAGUGGCUAUUCCCCUUAUUACAGAAGCACUUAGUCUCGGGUUUGGGUUCAACCUUGGGUUUCUUCACUAGAGCAGCAGCUGAAUUGCCGUUUCAUGAAGUAUCCCUUCUUGCCCUUGCCCUUCUUGAAACUAGUGGUUUCACCAACCAUCAACAAUUGAUGCUCCUUCUUGAUUUCUACUUUUGUCGUGUCAAACAUCGCGAAUAUCUCAAAGAUCAUCAUAUAUGUCCUUGAUAUGUUAUAGUUCAUCACGAAGCUCUAGCGGCUUGGUGGUAAUGACUUCGAAGAAACAUCACUGUCUCAUCUGGAAGAUCAACUCCCACUUGAUUCAAAUGAUUGUUGUACUCAGACAAUCUGAGCAUAAGCUCAACAAUUGAGCUUUUCUCCCUUAGUUUGUACGCUAAGAAAAUCGUCGGAGGUCUUAUACCUCGUGACGUGGGCACGAGGCUGAAAUCCCAAUUUCAGCCCUCAAAACAUCUCAUAUGUUUCACGACGUUUCAAAACGUCUUUGGUUCCUCAAUUCUAAACCGUUUAACUGAACUAUCACGUAGUUAUCAAAAUGUGUAUGUCAGAUGUUCGCAACAUCCACAGACAAUGUUCGAGGUUCAGCACACUGAGCGGUGCAUUAAGGACAUAAGCCUUCUAUGAAGCAAUGAGGACAAUCCUCAGUUUACGGACCUAGUCCGCAUAAUUGCUACUAUCAACUUUCAACUAAAUUUUCUCUAGGAACAUAAUUAAACAGUAGAACUGAAGCGUGAGCUACGACAUAAUUUGCGAAGACCUUUUGACUAUGUUCAGGAUAAUUAAGUUCAUCUUAUGAACUCCCACUCAGAUAGACAUCCCUCUAGUCAUCUAAGUGAUUACAUGAUCUGAGUCAACUAGGCCGUGUCCGAUCAUCACGUGAGACGGAAUAGUCAACAUCGGUGAACAUCUUCAUGUUAAUCGUAUCUACCAUACGACUCAUGCUCGACCUUUCGGUCUUCUGUGUUCCGAGGCCAUGUCUGUACAUGCUAGGCUCGUCAAGUCAACCUAAGUGUUUCGCAUGUGUUCCGAGGCCAUGUCUGUACAUGCUAGGCUCGUCAACACCCGUUGUAUUCGAACGUAAGAAUCUAUACACCCGAUCAUCACGUGGUGCUUUGAAACGACGAACUUUCACAACGGUGCACAGUUAGGGGGAACACUUUCUUGAAAUUUUAAUGAGGGAUCAUCUUAUUUACUACCGUCGUUCUAAGCAAAUAAGAUGUACAAACAUGAUAAACAUCACAUGCAAUCAAAUAGUGACAUGAUAUGGCCAAUAUCAUAUUGCUCCUUUUGAUCUCCAUCUUCGGGGCUCCAUGAUCAUCAUCGUCACCGGCAUGACACCAUGAUCUCCAUCAUCAUGAUCUCCAUCAUUGUGUCUUCAUGAAGUUGCCUCGCCAACUAUUACUUCUACUACUACAGCUAACGGUUAGCAAUAAAGUAAAGUAAUUACAUGACGUUUAUGUUGACACACAGGUCAUAAAUAAAUUAAGACAACUCCUAUGGCUCCUGCCGGUUGUCAUACUCAUCGACAUGCAAGUCGUGAUUCCUAUUACAAGAACAUGAUCAUCUCAUACAUCACAUAUAUCAUUCAUCACAUCCUUUGGCCAUAUCACAUCACAUAGCAUACCCUGCAAAAACAAGUUAGACGUCCUCUAAUUGUUGUUUGCAUGUUUUACGUGGCUGCUAUGGGUUUCUAGCAAGAACGUUUCUUACCUACGCAAAGACCACAACGUGAUAUGCCAAUUGCUAUUUACCCUUCAUAAGGACCCUUUUCAUCGAAUCCGAUCCGACUAAAGUGGGAGAGACAGACACCCACCAGCCACCUUAUGCAACUAGUGAAUGUCAGUCGGUGGAACCGGUCUCACGUAAGCGUACGUGUAAGGUUGGUCCGGGCCGCUUCAUCCCACAAUGCCGCCGAAUCAAGAUUGGACUAGUAAUGAUAAGCAUAUUGAACAAAAUCAAUGCCCACAACUACUUUGUGUUCUACUCAUGCAUAGAAUCUAUGCAAUAGACCUAGCUCAUGAUGCCACUGUUGGGGAACAUAGCAGAAAUUCAAAAUUUUCUACGCAUCACCAAGAUCAAUCUACGGAGUAAUCUAGCAACGAGGGGAAGGAGAGUGCAUCUACAUACCCUUGUAGAUCGCUACGCGGAAGCGUUCAAGAGAACAGGGUUGAUGGAGUCGUACUCGUCGUGAUCCAAAUCACCGAUGAUCCUAGUGCCGAACGGACGGCACCUCCGUGUUCAACACACGUACAGCCCGGUGACGUCUCCCAUGCCUUGACCCAGCAAGGAGAGAGGGAGAGGUUGAGGAAGACUCCAUCCAGCAGCAGCACAACAGCGUGAUGGUGAUGGAGGAGCGUAGCACUCCAGCAGGGCUUCGCCAAGCACCGCAAGAGACGAGGAGGGAGAGGGGUAGAGCUGCACCAAGAAGAGAUCAAAUCGCGUGUUGGGCAGCCCCUAGGCCUCAAGUAUAUAUAGGGGAAGGGGAGGGGGCUGCGCCCCCUCUAGGGUUCCCACCCCAAGGGGUGCGGCAGCCCCAGAUCCCAUCUGAGGGAGGCGGCCAAGGGGGGAGGAGAGGGAGGCACAGGGAGCAUGGGCCUUAGGGCCCAUCUGCCCUUAGGGUUUGCCCCCUUUCCUCUCCCCUUGCGCCUUGGGCCUUGGUGGGGGGCGCACCAGCCCACCUGGGGCUGGUCCCCUCCCACACUUGGCCCAUGCAGCCCUCCGGGGCUUGUGGCCCCACUUGGUGGACCCCCGGGACCCUCCCGGUGGUCCCGGUACGUUACCAAUAAAACCCGAAACUUUUCCGGUGACCAAAAUAGGACUUCCCAUAUAUAAAUCUUUACCUCCGGACCAUUCCGGAACUCCUCGUGACGUCCGGGAUCUCAUCCGGGACUCCGAACAACAUUCGGUAACCACAUACAAACUUCCUUUAUAACCCUAGCGUCAUCAAACCUUAAGUGUGUAGACCCUACGGGUUCGGGAACCAUGCAGACAUGACCGAGACGUUCUCCGGUCAAUAACCAACAGCGGGAUCUGGGUACCCAUGUUGGCUCCCACAUGUUCCACGAUGAUCUCAUCAGAUGAACCACGAUGUCAAGGACUUAAUCAAUCCCGUAUACAAUCCCCUUUGUCUAGCGGUAUGAUACUUGCCCGAGAUUCGAUCGUCGGUAUCCCGAUACCUUGUUCAAUCUCGUUACCGGCAAGUCUCUUUACUCGUUCUGUAACACAUCAUCCCGUGAUCAACUCCUUGAUCACAUUGUGCACAUUAUGAUGAUGUCCUACCGAGUGGGCCCAGAGAUACCUCUCCGUCACACGGAGUGACAAAUCCCAGUCUCGAUUCGUGCCAACCCAACAGACACUUUCGGAGAUACCCGUAGUGCACCUUUAUAGUCACCCAGUUACGUUGUGACGUUUGGCACACCCAAAGCACUCCUACGGUAUCCGGGAGUUGCACAAUCCCAUGGUCUAAGGAAAUGAUACUUGACAUUAGAAAAGCUUUAGCAUACGAACUACACGAUCUUUGUGCUAGGCUUAGGAUUGGGUCUUGUCCAUCACAUCAUUCUCCUAAUGAUGUGAUCCCGUUAUCAACGACAUCCAAUGUCCAUAGUCAGGAAACCGUAACCAUCUAUUGAUCAACGAGCUAGUCAACUAGAGGCUUACUAGGGACAUGGUGUUGUCUAUGUAUCCACACAUGUAUCUGAGUUUCCUAUCAAUACAAUUAUAGCAUGGAUAAUAAACGAUUAUCAUGAACAAGGAAAUAUAAUAAUAAUCAAUUUAUUAUUGCCUCUAGGGCAUAUUUCCAACAGGGUCUUCAAUAAGUUGAUCAAAAAAUGACUUUACAUUAGCCCCCAAGUGCCAUGGUGCAUGCUGGCAGUGACAUGGGACUUGCAUAUUUGAUGGAAUCUUAAUUUGAAUAAUGUAGCCCCCAAGUGCCGGGUCAUAAGCCUGCAGCGACUCGGGACUAUUCCCUCCAUUGUAAAAAUAAAUCAUGUCCAUUAACAAAAUAAUAACCAUUGCGCUGAAGCGACUUUGAAGACCUCCAUCAUAAUAUUGGCUAUUGAUAACCAUAAUAAAAAUCUAGCCAUGUUGGCUAUCAAAGAUUUGAAUAAUAUAAUCCGGUUUGGAAAACCGGUUCCUGUGAAAUUGAAUCGUACUGCCGGUUUAAGAUACCUGUGCAGUAAGGGUGAUUGUCAUAUAUGGCGACUUAUCAUCCAAAGUCAAGCCGGGUUAAUCGAAACCACAUAUAUGCUUCAGAUAUGAACAAAAAGGCUCAAGACAAACCCAAAAGACUGUUUUCAAAAAACUUAAGCAAAAUAGAAAAAAAAUUGGGGCUUCUGAUUCGAAUUCGAUCAGUAAACCGGACCAAAGGGCUUAAGCUAGGAUUCAAAUACGAUCAUGUAGCCCCCAGUGGCUUUGGCGUUGCGCCGAUCAGGAGGGUACCGACAGCUGUGUUCUCUUUGGUUCGAAUAUGACCUAUGUUUGAACAGGAAGCCCCCAAAUAACAUUGAGAGGUUUUUAACGACCCUGAUUCGAAUACGAUCCAAGUCGGACCCAAAAGGGGUUAAGCUAUGAUUCGAAUACGAUCAAGAAGCCCCCUAGUGAGUUUGGCAUUGUGCCGAUCAAGAGGGUACCGACAACUAUGUUCUCUUUGGUUCGAAUACGACCUAUGUUUGAACAGGAAGCCCCCAAAUAACCUUGAGACUUUUUUAAUGACUCCGAUUCGAAUACGAUCAAAGUCAGACCCAAAAGGGGUUAGGCUAGAUUCAAAUACAAUCAGCCCCAAUGGUCUUUUGAAGCAGGGUACCUAUGUUUGAGUUGUGCCUUACAACAGACUCUCUUUGGUCCCUUUAUUUUUUUCUUGAGAACUCGAGCUUUGCGAGAGAUAAAUUCUUCUUGAACCGGAAUUUUUUCCAGACGGCCUUUAAACUGGCAACAUUUAUUGAGCUAUGUCCAUGUAGCCCUCGAGUCUUUAAGACGACUCAAUGAGUUGACUUGAGAUUCUCCACAGUUGACCGUGAUAUAGACCGGUUUGAGUCUGAUACGUCUCCAACGUAUCUAUAAUUUUUGAUUGUUCCAUGCUAUUAUAUUAUCUGUUUUGGAUGUUUAUGGGCUUUAUUAAACACUUUUAUAUUAUUUUUGGGACUAACCUAUUAACCCAGAGCCCAGUGCCAGUUUCUGUUUUUUUUCCUUAUUUUAGAGUAUUGCAGAAAAGGAAAAUCAAACGGAGUCCAAUUGACCUAAAACUUCACGAAACUUAUUUUUGAACCAGAAGAAGCCCACGGAUUAUCGGAGAUGCACCAGGAGAGUCCUGGGCUGCCCACGAGGGUGGGGGCGCGCCCACCCCCUGGGCGCGCCCCCUGCCUCGUGGACAGCCCGGAGGUCCACCGACGUACUUCUUCCUCCCAUAUAUACCCAUAUACCCUAAAAACUUCGGGGAGCACAAUAGAUCGGGAGUUCCGCCGCCAGAACCCUCCGUAGCCACUGAAAACCAAUCUAGACCUGUUCCGGCACCCUGCCGGAGGGGGAAUCCCUCUCCGGUGGCCAUCUUCAUCAUCCCGACUGAAAGGAUCGAUAUGGUUGACUAGAGGGGGGUGAAUAGGCAACUAACAAUUUUUAGCUUUUAUUUAACAAUUUAAACUUUGCAUCAAAGUAGGUUGUCUAGAUAUGCAACUAGGUGAGCAACCUAUAUGAUGCAACAAGGAUAGGAACACAAGCAAGCAAGAGAUAUGAUACAAAUAUGCUUGCACAAGUAAAGGCACGAGAUAACCAAGAGUGGAGACGGUGGAGACGAGGAUGUGUUGCCGAAGUUCCUUCCCUUUGAGAGGAAGUACGUCUCCGUUGGAGCGGUGUCGAGGCACAAUGCUUCCCAAGAAGCCACUAGGGCCACCGUAUUUUCCUCACGCCCUCACACAAUGCGAGAUGCCGUGAAUCCACUAUUGGUGCCCUUGGAGGUGGCGACCAAACCUUUACAAACAAGGUUCGGGCAAUCUCCACAACUCAAUUGGAGGCUCCCAACUACACCAUGAAGCUUCACCACAAUGGACUAUGGCUCCGCGGUGACCUCAACCAUCUGGGAUUCUCAAACACCCAAGAGUAACAAGAUCCGCAAGGGAUUAGUGGGGGGAAUCAAAUUUCUCUUGGUGUAAGUGUGGAUCGAGGCCUUCUCAACCACUCCCGAGCAAAUCAACAAGUUUGAUUGGCUAGGGACUGAGAUCGGGAGAAAAUGGAGCUUAGAGCAACAAUGGAGCUUGGGGUUGGAAGAGAUGAGUCAACGGGGAAGAAGGGGACCCCUUAUAUAGUGUAGGACAAAGAUCCAACCGUAACCACCUACCAGCCCGCGGCCAGCGGUACUACCGCUCCAGGCUAGCGGUACUACCGCAGGGCCGCGCGGUACUACCGCACGGUCAUGCGGUACUAUCGUACGGGCCCGCGGUACUGCCGCAAAACCAGCAACGGCAAGGUAAGAUCUGACGCGCAGGACCUGAGGGUGGUACUUCCGCGAGUGCGGUACUACCGCGCCGCCAUGCGGUACUACCGCAAGGCAGAAAACCCCUAGCCAGGGGGAGGAAACAACCGUGCCUACUUCUGCAAAGAAACGGAAGAAGCAAAAACCCGACACAGUAGUACUGCCGAGGGGCGGUACUACUGCCUGACAUCCUAACACGGUACUACCGCGGAGCGAAAGCGGUACUACCGCGGUAGGUGCGGAUGUAAAAAAUUACAUCCGCCCCUACUACCGCGAAGGAGCGGUACUAGCCUGGUGGCCAACGGUAGUGCAGCUCCAGGGGAGCGGUACUAUCGUGGGCACCUGCGGUACUACCGCGCCGCCGCACGGUACUACCGCCGGUGCCUAUGGUACUACCGCUCUCCUGGGAGCAGUACUACCACGAGCCAACUCAGCAGCCAGAGCCAGGAACGCGAGAAAGCGGAGGGGACAAGAAGGAGACGUGUACGUGAUGAUUCCACCCAAACCUUUCCGAUGCGGAACCCCUCUUAAUAGUACGGCUUUCCUACGACUCAAAUCCACCAAAAAGAAACGUAGAAAAGACGCCGUCUUCAACAGUCUUCGAGGGGCACCCAACCAUCUUGUGCCUAGCGAUGAAAUGUCUGGGAUACUCAAGGCACACAAUUAGUCCGCAAACGCGUUGUCAUCAAUCACCAAAACAUCUUAGGGAUAAAUAUGCCCUUACAAUCUCCCCCUUUUUGGUGGAUUGAUGACAAUACGGGAUUUGCACAAGGGAAAUAAUAUUAAGCAACCGCAAACCCCUCCUCUCUAGAAUAUAGACGGGCUCCCCCUAGAUGUGUGCCACCUAGAUGAGUGCUUUGGACUGCACAGCACAUAUACUAGGAUCAAAUCUCCCCCUAUAUUAUAGAGACAAGGCAUAAUUAGAAAUAGGAAGGUUAUCACUGGACAAGAUAGCACAAACUUAAAUCAACUAAGAUAGAUAGAGUUCAUAUGUCUUACACCAUAUGUAGGAUAGGUCUCGAAGGCACAAACCAAACAAAAGCAAACGAGGCAAACGAGGUUCAAACAACAAAGCGAACAAACACACCAAGCACGACACACGACACAACGCAAAUCCCUACACUCUCUCCCUCUUUGGCAUCGAGACGCCAAAAAGGCAGAGAGGACACCUACACACACGGGGUGACUCAGGCAGAGAAGUCGUCGCACUGCUCCUCGUGCUCCUCGUCAGACUCUGCGGCGGGGAUGGGCUCCUCGAUGUCUUCCUCUGAAAUGGUCCACUUGUACCCCUGCUUCAUCAUCCAGGCAGCCUCAGGCGUGAUGACGUCCUCAGAACCGCCAGACACAUCCUCUCCAAAGAGCCUCAUAACCUUCUUGUCACGGCGGUGACUCUCCUUGUCAGCCACGUGAGUCCUGUACUGUCCCUUUGCCUGCAUGCAGAAAAGAGUCUUCAUCUUGUCCUUUAACUUCUUGGCCCACGACGGCUCAGAGGAAGGUGUGGUAGACCGAGGAGCACGGUCCUCAGCAAUAUUUUCAGCAGCAGCCUCCUCCUCACCAACAGCCCUCCUAGCAGAAGAAGCCUCAGCACGGGUAGUGGUGUUGGCCCAGUUGGGCUUGACGCGGAGGCUGAUGGACUCAUGGCGAAUCCAGUCUGGAGCAAGGAACUCAUCGCCAGGGUACAUCUUCUUCCAAGCUGUGGAGAGAAAUAGAAACGGGUACGGUCCAUAGAUAGGUACCUUGCGAGUGAACACCGCAAACCGAAGCUCACACCACAUGAUGUGUGAGACAUCAAGUGGCUGAGUUUGAGAAGAACGUGUCUCUGCACAUAGAAGCAACAUGUCCACUAGAUAAGAAUGAACCUUGUCCUUGUCACCAAUACAUGGGAACAGAGUGUUGCGGAAGAUGCGAUGCAUGAUAUCCAGAAAGGAGUUCAGCACCCAAGUCGACUUGCCAUUGGGGAGCACCUUCUCAACAAGGAAUGGCUGAAGCAGGUUCUUGUUGGCAGACUCAGAGUUGGCGUGGGGGCGUACACCAACAGGGGUGUUAAGCCCGUCAUCAGGAAUGUGAAGCAGAUCCAUGAACUCCUUCCAUGUAGCAGACAUCUGACGGCCGUUGGCCAUCCAGGUCAUCCUCCGCUCAUCCCCGAGAUGAAAGUAAACUAAGGCAAUGAACUGACAGAUAAGCUCAGAGUCAUAGUCAAGGUGAAAGGAGAUCACCGGCUCAAUAGCAAACUGCUACACGAAGUCCAGAGCCUCUCCAAAAUAGUCACGAAACUUGUCCUUCCGCAUGUGAUUCAUGUCUAUCCACUUGACAUCCACGAAGGUGUUCUUCUUGUUCUUGAUCACAUCCAGAUAGAUGAGAGCCUAUUGCUUGGUCCAGAACAACUCAGUGCCUCUGAGGACAGCCCGAGGAUUCACAUAGGGAUUGUUUUUCCGGCGUUCGACAUACUCAGCGACUGGAAUCUCAUCCAUGCCCUUAGCAGGUUCCUUUUGCUUGCUGGCAGUGGUCUUGACAUUGCACUUGGGGGCAUUGGAGCCCUCUAGUGCUUCAUCUUGGGGAUUGCGCAGAUGCUUGGAGCCAGUGUCACGACUGGGAUUGGAACGGCGAGAGCCACCACCUAAGACACAAAGCGCAAAACACACACACGACAAGCAAGAAGGGUCAAUGCAAAGACCGCAACAAAGCAAAAGAAACAUGCAAAGAGCACACAAGAUAAUUGCCUAGAGAGAGAUUUGACCCCUACGGCAGUACUGCCAAGUGCUGCGGAACUAAGAUCCUAGUACCGCUCUUAGUCGCGGUAGUACCGUGUAAGGUCACGGUAGUACCGGGUCUAGGAGCGGUAGUAUGAGCUUAGUGCCUCAGCUAGCGCGGUAGUACCGCGUCUGAUGAGCGGUAGUACCGCACGAGCUAGCGCGGUAGUACCGCAAGUCGAUGGGAGGUAGUACCGCACGAGCGGUAGUACCGCACAUGAGACACGGUAGUACCGCACCGCGUCAGAUCCGAACAAGUUCAAAUCUGAGAAAAGCCCGCGAAACCGCGGCGGUUCUACGAGUGGACAAAUCUACCACAAGACAACAUAUCAAGUAUGAUUCCUACGCAACACGAUUCUCCUACAUCCUACUCUUGCAAAGAUUUGGCCUAAAAUCUCAAGAACAAUUAGCAUCUCCUCAAAAACCUAGAAGCGAGAGAACAACCAAGAAAAAGAGAGAUUUGGGGAAAACCCUUGGUCCAUGACAAGAGGAAGUGGUGGGGAACGAUCCCACCGGUCGAAAUCCGAAGAGAGUGGCCGGAGAUGGAGAUCCGGCGAGGACCUCCGGCGUCGUUCUUGAGCAAGAGAGAGAGAGAGACGUGGGGAGAGAGACGAGUGAAUGGGUAUGGGGAGUUGGAACUCCCCUGCCCGAGUCAUAACCCCCACGCUCACUCGACGGCGCGGUAGUACUGUGCCUCAUCGCGGUAGUACCGCUCGGCGGAAGUACCACACCUGAGCGGUAGUACCGUGGACUCAAGAAGAUGCACGUUUCAAGCAAACGAAAAACGGGGUCUUUGCACGAACACUCUGAGGCAACAAGACACCACAAGACCAUGCUACACACAAAGGCAGAAAGGCAAAUGACAAAACGAAACAACCACGAGACACCACCUCUCAAAAGAGGUGGCCGUAGCCACCUAUGUUUGAGUCAAUUGGUAUGGCACCGCGAAAAAUUAUCCUUGGGUCCAUGACCAAAACUCGUCUUUGAAGCACAAGUACCAUCAAACAUGGCUAAUGUGAAAGACUUGAUCAAUUUAUGCAUAAUGGGGGAAGGGAGAGUUCAUUUAGAGAACAACACUCCCCCUAUGUCCAUGCCUACAAUUAAACAAGACAACAAGUUGAGUAUGGUGAGGUGUGCAACGGUUCAAGCAACAUUGCUCGAAUCAAUGAUAUUUAGCACUAGAUGUUUCACGUGAUAUUAAAAAACUGUUUGAUCUUUCUUCAUGCAUCCGACCGCUAGCUGAAGUCUUCGGUCUUCUCGCGUGAGGCCUAAAUAACAUAGCACUAGAUGUUGACUUCGAUCUUCUUAUGGAAAUAAAUCACAGGCGAAGGAGCAGUAACAGCCAGGCGGUCAGGCACCCGCAUGACACUGCGUACACCCACAGCCACUGCAGGAAAAAAGGACAGGCCAGCUUAGAAAAAACCCGUGACGAGGCGGAGCAAUGCGAGAGGCGGACGGCGGCUCGGAGUGACUCGGAGUGCGGUGGCGACUUGGAAGACAGAGACCGCCGGAGGCAGCCUGGCAGUCGAGGCGCGGUUGGCGAGGCUCCGGUUCGGGUGAGGCGGCUUGGAACGAGGUCAAAGCAGAGUGGUGACUUAGAAGGCGACUCGGAAGCGUCCAAGGCGGGGCCACAUAGCAACCGGGGAUUGGGCGGCUCUAACGCGGCUAGUGCGGCGGCAGAGCCGGAUCAUGGCCAGAUCGAGGCCAGCUUGGAGUAGAGGGCCAUGGCGGCUGGGACGCAGGGGCCGACGUCGACUUUCCAUGCAGACGAGGCAGCGGUUUUGUACAGGCAGAUCCGGCCGGGCGGCUCGCGACUGUGGUGGCGACUCAAGGUGGCUUUGUGAGCUCGUGGUACGGCAAUAGCAGGUGACCCGCCGGUCAGGUCACGGCCGUAUCCGUUCCUGAGUCGUCGUCGUCGUCUCCACGUAUCCAUCAAAUCUCUGUGAGCAUGUAUGUAUACUAAUAUUCUGGUCGGCCUUGAGUAGAUCUCACGUAGAAUAAAAAAAGUAGAGUCAUAAGCACCGGACGCAGUGUACAGAAAUAAGGGCUUCUUUGAUUCAAAGGAAUUUUAUAGGAUUUCUGGAGGAUUGAAAUUUUUAGGAUUUUUUCCUAUGUUGGUCUUUUGAUUCAUAGGAUUAGAUUUCAUAGGAAUUUUUUCUAUAAAAUUUUUUAUAUUACAUUUCAUAGGAAAUUUAACAUCCACUUCAAUCUCUUUUUACAAUUUCUUUAUUUUUUCCGUGGCAUCAACCAAUCUCAUUGCUAAUUCUAUAGGAUUCAAAUGGGCUCUAAGACUUUUCCUAUUCCUGCGCUUUCAAAACCCUAUGAAUCAAAGAAGCCGUAAGACUAGUACUCUAAUACUUAGCGAGUAGUAGUGCCUGAUUCCCUCGGGGUUUAAGCCUGUAAUCUAGCAGCCGGAAUUUACGGAACUCAGUCGAUCGGGCAGCAGAUUUCUUUCUGUCGGACUCGAUCGAAAGUACGAUUUGACAGCUUGUAGGACUCGGUGUAGAAACGAAAAUCAAUCUCCUGUUGACGGAUCGUGUCGCGUCGCCGGCGGCGCACAGAACAUUAAACUUUAAUUAUUUUCAUCUCAAUCAGGUAAACUUGCACUUGAUGCAGAUCCUUCCAAACCGACUUAUCUUCAUCCGGUAAAUUGCAAACUUCUCGAUCCCUAAAAAAAAUCCCUCCAAAAACUCAACAUCACCGUGCGCAGGCCCCACGGUGGGCGCCAACUGUCGUGGAAUUAUCACAGCAGAUGUCCUAGUGUGAGAAUUUAGUCGUGAGUCAAACGCAUCUUUGUAGUAGCUUGAGAGGGAUUGAGCGGAAUCGAGAGACCCAACACAAGACAAGGAUUUAGACAGUUUCGGGCCCCGGGAAACAUCGUCCGGAAAUAGCCCUACAUGUUGUUUGUGGCUAGAUCUCAUUAUGCUCAUGAGAGAGUCGCCGCAUAAGCCGGCUCCCCCUUUGUGUCUAGCCCUAGAGAUUGUUUCUUGUUGCUUAUCCCUUUUUAGGGAGUCCUGCCCCUCCUUAUAUAAGUUGAAGGGGCGGGUUACAUGACUAGUCCUAAUAGGAUUAGGAUUACUCUAUUACAAGUGGAGUCCCUUAUGUCUUUCCUCGUAAGCCGGCCCACGAACCGGCAUACUGGGCCUUGAGCCUUGUCGUCCGUCUGAAGCACCCGCCGGGUCAUUAAUGAGUCUUCAGGCUCGUGAGUCGUCACACCAGUGAGCCGCCAGACACGUGAAUCGCCAAUUCUCGGACGCUUAACAAUGAAACAUCAAGUUCGGCCGGGUCAUAUAUCCGGCCAGGUCAUACCGCAGGAUAUACCCCCAACAGUUUGGAAAUGUCAUAUGGGGGUAUUUUGAGGGGGUGGGGGCAAUGCCCCCCACCCCCUCCCCGUGUCAAGAAUUUAUUUGGGAGGCAGGGGAAGCCCUCGUAAUGCUGGCAAUUGAUUGCACUGACAACUUUUUUGCUAUGCUGGACAAAGGGAAUAACGAGCAUGUCACAUGCCAAAUUCAGUGCGGUCACUAUCUAUACCCAACGGCAAGUCUAUUUCAAAGUCUCUGCAAAAAUUCUAGCCAAUUAGUGUUGAGCUAUCAAGGUUCAAACGAUUGCCUGUCGUCUAGCUUGACAAUGGUGAGUGAUUUUUGUGUACAUGUCUUGCCUCUUAGUUUUGUUAAGUUUUUUUCAUUUUGGCAUGUCAUUCCGAAUUUCUUAUGAUCAUCAUUUCUUACAAAUAACGAGUUCCAAUUUAAUAGCCAGUAAGCCUCUGGAUGGUUAGACGAGAGCGAUGGGCCGCUAGUUAAGCAAACUGUUCUUACCAUUUUUGCAAUUUAAUUUUCUCGUCUUACCAUUUUCACAAAACUGGCUGUCCCGAUUUGGUUUUUUCUGUUUUUUUUCUUAUUCUUUUUAUUUUCUAUUUGUUUUUCCUUUUGUCCCUUCGGAGAUUAUCUUUACUUUUCCAUUUUCUUCAUAAGUUCAAAUUUCUCAAAAAUUGUUCAGAAUUUUAAUUUUGUUAAUUUUUUGAAAGCUGUUCAGAAUUCCAAAUUGUGUUCUCAUUUAAAAAAAUAUUUUGAACAUUAAAGUUUUGUUCUCAUUCCAAAAGCAAUUCAGAAUUCAAAAAAUGUUCCACUUUUCAAAAAAAAAAUUGAUUUUCAAAAAAUGCAUUUUAAAAAAUAUUCCAAAUUCGAAAUAAAUUCAUGUUUUAGUGAAAUAUUCAUAAAUUCAAAAUAAUGUUCGCAUUUCAACAAAAACACAUUUUCUAAAAUUGUUCUGGUUCAAAACAUGUUCCCGUUUUCAAUAAUUGUUCAAAAAUUCAAAAACAAUCGUGCUUUUAUAAAAGGUUCAUGUUUUCAAAAAAAAUAUUGUUUUAAAUUUUGUUCUUGUUUUACCAAAAAAUGUACAGAAUUUUUAAAAACUAUUUCAUAAUUUAAAAAAUUGUUCACGUUUGCAAGAAUAUUUGGCAAUUCAUAAUCAUAAUAAUUAUUUGACAAGUUCAAAAAAAUCAAAAAAAUGAUUCGAAUCUGACAUUGUACUAUGUUCUUAAUUAUUCGCGCGAGUUGCUAGGGACACUCGAACAUGAAAAAGCAAAAGUAAUUGCUUUGUCGCCCAGGUUGUAGUAGGCAUCAGCCGCACUCCCCUACCGGGCCUGCCCUGCAUCCAACCCAUCAAUCCUCACCAUCACCUCAAAAAAAAAAACAAUCCUCACCAAGGGAGGCAAAAAUAGUUUGUGGCUGUGUAAGGAAUCAUAUUUGCGACGUCUCAUCCAUUUCCUCACGAGGAUGCCAACUGAUCUUGAUCGGCUUUAUUACAUAAAAACGGCUUGUUCUCCUAUUAAAUAUACGUAAAGAUCUUGUUUCGUUAGUUUCACAUGUAGUUUCUGAAAAAAAAAACAUUUGUCCCCCGGCUGAGCCGAACUUGGCCUACCACAUAUUUCUUUUUCUGUCGGACGGACGGGAAGCAAAAAUAUAUCCCUAGGUUUCUUGGAAAUAAGGCUGUUGUUUGGAAAUAAGAAAGUUAUCUCGAGAAUCAUGAGCAGAAUGAGGGACUUCAUAAAGUUUUGCCGGUGGUAGCUUGCACGUACCAAUAAAAGAGAAUGUGGUGGUUGGCUAUAAUUGAAAGAAAUUGUUAACACAUGCCAAUAAAAGAGAAUAUGCUGGUUUGGCUCUAACUAAGAAAAACUAUGGGCAUGUGAGCUCUAAAAUAAAGAACAUAAAUCAGAUGAAGAAGGGACAUUCAUGUCUGGUUAUGCGCUGAUUAUGCUAAUGAAAUAGGAUUUAUGCACUGCAAAUUGUAAUCCGUCCGAUUAUGCCGUCGUAGGAGGGAGUGAUCGAAGCAACCGUGCCUCGAAGGUUGUCGCGCAGCCACCAAAUGCGGAGGCAGCUGCAACCGAAAGACGGAGGUAGGCCCGAAGGAAAAAAGGGCACUAGUUGGGUAGUCGCUGCCACAUUGACCAAUCCCACCACUCUCAAAAUCUCACGGGCCAAACAUGACCCAAGAGAAGACCGCAACUCUUCGCUAUGUUGCCUACCACUGUGGAGGCUAUUUUUGAUGGACACAUAAAUUAUCUCUUUUGUUGCUUCUCAUAAAAAUAUCUGUCCCAUUGCAACGCACGGGCAUACGUGCUAAUACCUAUACUAAUAAAGGGAGGUGCACUUUUUUAUUGUUUUGAUCCGUUCACGCAUAUUAUUUAUAUUCUUAAAAAAAAUUAUCCGAGGAGAUACUAUUUUUUUUCUGCUACAAAAGCAAAAAAAAAUUCGAGGGAGGCAUCUAGGCUGAGUUGGGCCUCUUGUGCACAUUGCCGAGGCACAAAAAAUUAUGUGAAAGAAAAAGGACGGAAAUCCUAUUUGACACUCUCUGCAUCAAGUGAUCGACCAAUCGCACAGACGCGUGAUCAACUGGGCCGGCCCAGCUCCGUUGUACCUAUACUGGGCAGUUCGGUUCCCAGCCAGUUUUAAGAACAUUCUAGAAAGUCCAUAAACAUGUUUUUUAAUUUACUUAUUUUCCUCUUUCAGUUUUUACUCUUUCUUUUUUUGUCUAUAUGUUUCUAUUUUACUUUAUUUUAUAUUUUAUGUUUUAUGUUAUAAGUUUCUAUUUUAUAUGUUUUUAUUUUAUUUUAUAUUUUUUGUUUUAUAUGUUUCUAUUUUAUUUUAUUUUAUUUUAUGCUUGUCAAUCACAAAUAUUAUUUUAAAUCCAAUAAAAUUCCUGUUUUUAAAACUAUUUACACUUUCCAAAAAUUGUUCGUGUUUUCAGUUUUUUUUCAUAAUAUCAAAAAUCAUAUAUUUGAAUACCUUAUUCACAAAUUCAAAAGCUUUCACAUUUAGAGAAUGUUAUCGAGAAUUUAAAAAAUGUUCCUGUUUAAAAAAAUCAUAUAUUUUAAAAUAUUUCGGCUUUUGAAAAUUGUUUACCAAAUUUAAAAAUGUUCUCGUUUUCCUGGAAUUUGUUUGUUUUUAAAAAGAAAUCAUAUAAUCGAAAAUGUUUCUAUUGUGAAAUUUUGUUCACAUAUUCAAUAAUUUCUCAUGAUUUUAAUGAAAAAUCAUAGUUUGGAAAAACUUUCGCAUUUUCAAUAUGGUUCACAAUUUCUAAAAUUAUUCCCAUUUUUUAAAAAUUGUUCACAAAUUCGAAAAAUGUUCCAAUUUCUAAAAAAAUCGAAAAUGUUAAAUUUCUUCCAUAAAAUAUUAACUUCUCCCAAAAAAGUCCUGUUUGAAUUUUCAAAAAAUGUAUGAUUGAAUACUUCUGAUAGUUAUUAAAACCCUGCGCUACAUAUUAAACUGUAAAUCUGUUUAGCUCUGCUGGUUAGCCCACUUGUUUUAUGUGUGCAUGUGGGCGAAUCUAAGAGAGCACAUGAUUUUUUUUUUAAUUUUGCACUGUGUGUUGUCGCUGUUGGGCCAGCCCAAUUCGCUGCCUCUGUGUGCAUCGUGCGGCUACUUUGUGUGCGAAAUUGCACUUGAUCCUCCGAUUAAAUAACGGAAAUGUUAACGCCCACACAUGUGGGCGUUGACCAUCUCGACCACACGCAUUCAUCAUCGUUCAGUACUAUAUGCACGAAUCUUGAUAUAAUCUGGCUGAUUUUCUGUGCCAAGUAGGACAAGGCAUGUGUGUGGUGUGUGACAUAGUUCGCCCACACAUUCGUUUUACCACACAGAGGGGCCGGUGUGUGGGCGUUUAGCAGUUCACCCACACACCAGUUUUCAGUCACGCACAAGGACUGGUGUGUGGCAUUUGCCAUCUCGCCCACACGCCCGUCUCCUCUCCUACACGUAAGCUGCUAGUUGUCAUGUGUUUUUGCAGCGCACAUGGCAACUGCCUCUAGUGUGCUUUAUAAGCAGGUGGCAACUCUCUUUUUUUACUCGAAUUGUCAUGUGUUUUUGCAGGGUACACGGCAACUGCCUAGUGUGCACGUAAGCAGAUGGCAACUGUCUUUUACCGAGUUGCCAUGUGUUUUUGCAUGGUACGUGGCAACUGCCCCAACGUGCAUGUACAUGGCAACUGCCCUAACGUGCACGUAAGCAGAUGGCAACUCUUCCUUUUUACAUGGCAACUGCCCUAGCAUGCUUGUGAGCACAUGGCAACUCUCUCAACUACCUAGUGUUAGUAUGUGGCAACUCCUAAAGUUAUGAAAUCAUGGCAACUAUAUUAGAUCAGACCAUACAUGGCAACUGCAGUUGAGCAACCAUGGCAACUGCAGUUGUCCGACAUGGCAACCGUAGUUCAGCGACAUGGCAACUGCAGAUAAACGAACAUGGACGAGGGUCUGGACCAUGGCAACUGCGGGCGCGUGGUGGGCGUCACGCAUCGCGUGCGGGACCAGAAGGGUAUGAGGCCUGACAUACGGGCGUGUGAGCGUUAUCAAUUUCGCCCACACGCACGCGUGUGAGAGGGUUCAGGAGGGAAAAAAGAUGUGUGUGAGCAUUAGUUGUUUUGCCCACACGUAGGUAUGUGGACUGGUUGCUGUCCAUGCCACACGAGGCGUGUGGCACAACUACCCGAUACACCACACGUGUGGCAGUUAUCGGGACCCUUAAAUAAUAGCACCUCGCCCUUUUCCAACCCCUAAAAAAACUCGCCCUUUUCUGGCCAACCCCACCAAUUUAUAUACGUCUUCUGUUACUUGGAUACCAUCAACUCAAUAAGCUGACUUGGAACGCAAUGAACACAGGCUAACGAAGGAAAAGAAUGUGUCAAAUAAGGACACAUAAUUGUGGGCGUGCUCGCGGGUGUUUGAGGGGUCGGAUUUGCCAAGUCCGACCGUAGAUGCUCUUAGAUAGAUGAUCCAUAGCCGGUGGUUUGCACUUUAACACCCCGAUCCACCAAAUGCAUAGCUUUUCCCUUUGUGUUGGUGUCCAUCUGUCAUUGGCGCCAAGUAGACGAAUGGGACUACAAAUUAAUAGGGCCCAAGGUGAGCACACACCACAACCAACUACACAAGCAAAAAUAUAUCCAUACACUAAACUAAAGAGUUCGACCGACUAGCCAAUCAUGUCAUGCACAAAGAGGUGCAUUGCUACCAUCAUGGCACCGACGAUGUUGUUGGCGCUUCAAGGAACUGUUGACAUUGGCCAAGUGGCGGAGCUAGCGGUUACGCACACUGGGUUGUUGCCCAACCAUAAUGUUGAGAUGUUUUUACUAUGUACUAAUUAGCAAUUUGGCGCAAAAGGACUGUCCAAGGCCUACCGGCUCAGUCGAGUAGGUCUCUUCCUCCCAGUCUAUGUCGCGUGAGAAUCAGAAAAGAGAGCGAGCGGCCCACGCACGGUUGUGCCACUGUGCUGCCACGCCGCCUCUCCCCAGCGACUAGUUCUGGCCCUCCCACACCAUCGGUACAAAGCUUGAAUAACUUAUUCACUUAUAUGCUUGAGGUUUCUUUUGAGCCAAGGAUUGGCAUUUCGUGGACAUGACGAGAGUGAACAAUCUAGAAAUAGGGGAAACUUUCUUGAACUUCUAAAAUGGCUUUGAGAAAAUGAUGAAGUUAAUAAUGUUGUUAUGAACAAUUCUCCUAAAAAUUGCAUCUUGACUAAUCCAACAAUACAAAAUUAUUGAAUGUUGUGCGCUACAAACUACAAAACAAAUUAUUGAAGAUCUUGGUAAUGACCGCUGCAAUCCUAGCUGAUGAGUCUAGUGACGUAUCUCACAGAGAGCAACUUGCUUUUUGCAUAUGUUAUGUUGAUAAAGUUGGAAAGAGAUGUGAGAGGUUCCUUAGAGUUGUUCAUGUUGCCAACACAACUUUAUUGUCACUUAUGGCUGCAACUGAAUCUUUGAUAAUCGUUCAUCAUUUGACUCUUACUCAAAUCCGUGGACAAGGAUAUGACGGGGCUAGCAAAGAUGAAUAGGGAGAUUAAAGGGUUGAAAACAUUGAUCAUGAAAGAUUAGGCCCCGACUUAUUACAUUUGAUGUUUUGCACAUGAACUUUGGUUGGUUCUUGUCGCUAUGGCAAAUAGAAAUGAACCGCGUGGGUAUUUUUUAAUCAUGUUUCUUACUUUCUCCAUAUUAUUGGAGUUUCUUGUUAGCAACAUGACAUGCUUCGAGAUGUUAGAGCUCAAAAGUUCUGGGAAGCACAUGAAAUGGGUGAAAUUGAAAGUUGAAGUUCAUUAAAUCAAGAUAUGGGAUCAGCUAGACUCGGUGAUACUCGAUGGGGUUCUCAUAUUAGGACUAUUUUGUGCUUUAUUAGCAUGUAUACCACAAUCCUUGAAGUACUCGAUACUAUUGAGAAAGAUCCUUCACAAAAAAGUGAGUGGGCAAUAAUACAUGGAUGGCUUUUGCCUUGGAGUCAUCUGACUUGGUUUUCAUUCUUCACUUGAUGCUUGUUAUUCUUGGCUACACAAUUGAGUUGUCUCAAUCACAUCAAAAGUGAGAUCAAGAUAUUAUUAAUGCAAUAUGACUCGUUAGGUUAGCAAAGAGUAGAAUGCGACACAUGCGGUCUCAUGGAUGGGAAGAAUUUCUUGCAAAGGUGACAUUGCUUUGCAAUAAGCAUGGCAUUCAAGUUCCUCCAUCAGAGGAUAUGUGCCUCAUGGAAGAUCAUGUUGAUAUAUUAUGAAGUACAAACAAAUGAUGAAAGUUAUAGAAGAGAAGUAUGUCUUGAUAUCAUUGAUCAAAUCAUUCAAAAGCUUCACAAUAGGUUUGAUGAAGGUAAUAUGGAGUUGCAUAUUUGCAUGUGUGCUUUGAAUCCCAUCAAUUCAUUUACUUAAGAUGCACUCAAGGUAAUGAAACUUAUUCAAUUCUACCCCAAGGACAUAUUAAGCAUCAUUUGGUAAAGCUUGAAUUCCAACUUGCUACUUUUAUUGAUGAUAUGAGACAAGAUUAUAGGUUCAAAUCCAUGUGUAGUAUUGGCGAUCUCUAUUAUGCUUGAUUGAAGAAAAAAAACAUGUUCUCUAUAAUUUGGUCUACUUGCUUAUGAAAUUGGUAUUGAUCUUACCGGUGGUCACCACAAGUGUUAAAAGAGUCUUUUCGGCAAUGAAUUUAGUGAAAAACAAGUUGAGAAAUAGUAUGGGUGAUGACCUUGUGAACUAUUGCUUACUGGCACUCAUUGAGUGAUAUGUGUUGAGGAUGGCAUAGUUGAAGCUUUCAUGGCAAAGGAACAUUGUAGAGUUACUUAGUGUUGCAUUUUCUAUGUUGUAAAUCUGAAAUAUUUUGUGAACUAUAAUGUUGUGUGAUUUGAUUCAGCUAUUUGUGUUUUUUCCUCGAAUAUUGUAUGACACUUGGACUAGGUAGAAUUUUUUUUAUGUGUGCACACCCUCAGUUUAUUUCCGGGCUCCACCACCAAUUUCGAUUCUUAUAUAUCCGUAGUUGGGAAGAACAACGGUUGUGAAGAUGACUAUUCAACCAAAUGCAUUUUUUUGGGCAUGCACACACUCGCAACUUUGCGAGCCUCCUGGCACGUACAUUCUUCUACAAACGAUUAUAUAUAAAAGUAGAGGUAUAAAUGAUGCAACCACUUCCUCAUCUGAAAAUAUAUUUAAAUGGAGAAAAUUAUUCUUCAUCAUCUGAUGUCAUAUGCAGUCUCUAGGUAGAGCACUCGUACAUUCUCCUACAAACAUUUGUUAAUGAUAACAACUACUACAUAAUAUGUAGCCAUAAUUGGUGUUUUUAUUAUUAUAUGAUGGCAUGGCGUCUUUAUAAGUGUUGUUUGAGAUAACAAAAGAGAGGCAUUUCUACGAAGGUGAAGAUAGCGAGCUAGCACAUAUCUUGAUGCAAAAUUAGACGGCCCACAUAGGCAUGGCUUGCAUGGGAGCUUAGAAAAUCUACUAUUUAUUCCCCUUGUACAAAACUACGGAAACAAUUACAAAUAAGAUAUGUCGGGGCAGCUCAUAUAACAGUUGGAGCAAAGUUCCAAUUUCAGUGCACAUCAGAAUCACAACACUGUAUUUGCAGCUCCUAGCAUUGGCCAUUCAU